CGGACGGGUGAGUAACACGUGGAUAACCUACCUAUAAGACUGGGAUAACUUCGGGAAACCGGAGCUAAUACCGGAUAAUAUUUUGAACCGCAUGGUUCAAAAGUGAAAGACGGUCUUGCUGUCACUUAUAGGUGGAUCCGCGCUGCAUUAGCUAGUUGGUAAGGUAACGGCUUACCAAGGCAACGAUGCAUAGCCGACCUGAGAGGGUGAUCGGCCACACUGGAACUGAGACACGGUCCAG
rnacentral:rRNA from 1 species